AAUGAAAUGACCGCCCCCAUCCCUUGAUAGGCAUUACACUGACUUACGGUUUACAUUUCCCAAAAAGUUUCCUGUUUUGAAAGCCCCUAUUAUGCAGAGAAAUCAGAAUGCAAUAAAGAAACUGAAAACAUCUUUCUUCUUUUCCAGGACUUCAAAUUUCUCUCUGAUUUUCUCAGUCCGGCUGUCACGCCCAUUCGUUUUCCAUCGUCUGUCUUGCGUGGCUCGGAACAUUGUCUUCCAGAUCUGUCAUGUAUGUUGGUGUUGCAUUUCUUUACUAUUGAAAGGGAGUCUCCCUCUAUGAUUAUUUCUGAAAAACCCAUUUCUGAGCUUGUUCUUAUUGCCCAUAAACACGCGAGUGCUUUUGCUGCAAACGCGGUACCCACCUCAGGAUGUUGGAUCGUCCGUGAAAAUAAGACUUUUCCUUGAUUGUUUUUAGCAACAAUUCCCGUUUCCGAUCUGGAAUUCCCCUCAACAAAGGCCGCGUCAAAAUUGAUUUUGAUUCUUCCUUCGCUUGGCGGUACCCAUCUCCUUACUCCUCUUCGGCUCUACAGUGCCACUCAGAGAACUCGUCCUCUAGUAGCGGAACAGCCGUUGAAAACCCGGGGCAGCCACGAAAGACGUGGUCAACAUUCUCGACAUCAAUCCUGCAUCUUGGACAUAAUAGAUUUGACACAAGUCGUUUAUAAUACAAAUCUGAAAAAGUAGGACCUCUACGUCCAUGAUCUUUCUGCCACUUAAACCUCGCAACAAUAUUUUCCAUCUCCCCGCAUAAGGAUUUUGGCAAUAAGAAACAUGCCAUAAAAUAUGUCGGUAUGGCUUGUAAAACUGAUUUUAUGAAUAUUUCCUUUCCCCCAUGGGAGAGAAAACGAGUACUCCACCCGUCAAUUUUCUUUUUCAUUCUAUCCUUCAAAUCUCUUGAAUGAGACAUUUAUUUCUUCCCACCACAUUUGGGAGGCCUAGGUAACUUUUUGGAUUAUUUGAGUAACGAACUACCGGUUGCAUUGCUAAUUGCGUCCUAAUCCCCUUAGGAAUAUUUGCAUUGUAAAAAAUUGUAGAUUUAUUUAGAUUAGCACAUGAGUGCAAAAAAUUGUAGAUUUAUCAAGAUUAACACAUUGGUUUGAA